CCUACGGGGGGCUGCAGUGGGGAAUAUUGGACAAUGGGGGGAACCCUGAUCCAGCCAUGCCGCGUGUGUGAAGAAGGCCCUCGGGUUGUAAAGCACUUUCAGUGAGGAAGAACGCCUGGUGGUUAAUACCCAUCAGGAAAGACAUCACUCACAGAAGAAGCACCGGCUAACUCCGUGCCAGCAGCCGCGGUAAUACGGAGGGUGCGAGCGUUAAUCGGAAUUACUGGGCGUAAAGCGCGCGUAGGUGGCUUGAUAUGCCGGUUGUGAAAGCCCCGGGCUCAACCUGGGAACGGCAUCCGGAACUGUCAAGCUAGAGUGCAGGAGAGGAAGGUAGAAUUCCCGGUGUAGCGGUGAAAUGCGUAGAGAUCGGGAGGAAUACCAGUGGCGAAGGCGGCCUUCUGGACUGACACUGACACUGAGGUGCGAAAGCGUGGGUAGCAAACAGGAUUAGAUACCCCAGUAGUC
rnacentral:rRNA from 1 species